rnacentral:rRNA from 1 species
CUACGGGGUGCAGCAGUGAGGAAUAUUGCACAAUGGGGGGAACCCUGAUGCAGCAACGCCGCGUGGAGGAUGACGCAUUUCGGUGUGUAAACUCCUUUUAUAUGUCAAGAAAAUGACGGUAGCAUAUGAAUAAGCACCGGCUAACUCCGUGCCAGCAGCCGCGGUAAUACGGAGGGUGCAAGCGUUACUCGGAAUCACUGGGCGUAAAGGACGCGUAGGCGGGCUUGUAAGUCAGGUGUGAAAUCCUACAGCUUAACUGUAGAACUGCACUUGAAACUACGAGCCUAGAGUAUGGGAGGGGUAGAUGGAAUUAGUGGUGUAGGGGUAAAAUCCGUAGAUAUCACUAGGAAUACCUAAAGCGAAGGCGAUCUGCUGGAACAUAACCGACACUAAGGCGUGAAAGCGUGGGGAGCAAACAGGAUUAGAUACCCCCGUAGUC